UACGUAGGGCGCAAGCGUUAUCCGGAAUUAUUGGGCGUAAAGAGCUCGUAGCGGUUUGUCGCGUCUGCCGUGAAAGUCCGGGGCUCAACUCCGGAUCUGCGGUGGGUACGGGCAGACUAGAGUGAUGUAGGGGAGACUGGAAUUCCUGGUGUAGCGGUGAAAUGCGCAGAUAUCAGGAGGACACCGAUGGCGAAGGCAGGUCUCUGGGCAUUAACUGACGCUGAGGAGCGAAAGCAUG
rnacentral:rRNA from 1 species